rnacentral:rRNA from 1 species
GACGAACGCUGGCGGCGUGCUUAACACAUGCAAGUCGAACGGAAAGGCCCUGCUUGCAGGGUGCUCGAGUGGCGAACGGGUGAGUAACACGUGGGUGAUCUGCCCCUUACUUUGGGAUAAGCCUGGGAAACUGGGUCUAAUACUGGAUAGGACCAUGCUGUAGGUGGUGUGGUGGAAAGAUUAGUUUCGGUAAGGGAUGAGCUCGCGGCCUAUCAGCUUGUUGGUGGGGUAAUGGCCUACCAAGGCGUCGACGGGUAGCCGGCCUGGGAGGGUGGACGGCCACAUUGGGACUGGGAUACGGCCCAGACUCCUACGGGAGGCAGCAGUGGGGAAUAUUGCACAAUGGGCGCAAGCCUGAUGCAGCGACGCCGCGUGGGGGAUGACGGCCUUCGGGUUGUAAACUCCUUUCAGCCAUGACGAAGCCCUUGUGGUGACGGUAGUGGUAGAAGAAGCACCGGCUAACUACGUG